rnacentral:rRNA from 1 species
AUUGAACGCUGGCGGCAGGCCUAACACAUGCAAGUCGAACGCGUCGCGGACGGGUGUAUAAUGUCUGGGACACUCCCCGAUGGAUGGGGAUAACUCCUGGAACCGGUAGCUAAUACCGCAUACCAUCGGCUGUGCCCAGAUUGGAUUCGCUAGUAGGUGGGUUAACGGCUCACCUCGGCCACGAUCCCUAGCUGGUCUGCGAGGGUGACCGGCCACACUGGAACUGAGACACGGUCCAGACUCCGACGGGAGGCAGCAGUGGGGAAUCUUGCACAAUGGGCGCAAGCCUGAUGCAGCCAUGCCGCGUGAAUGAAGAAGGCCUUCGGGUUGUAAAGUACUUGUAGUGGGGAGGCGUUACUCGCAGAGGAAGCAACGGCUAACUCCGUGCCAGCAGCCGCGGUAAUAC